rnacentral:rRNA from 1 species
GACGGAGGAUGCAAGUGUUAUCCGGAAUUAUUGGGCGUAAAGCGUCUGUAGGUUGCCUAACAAGUCUGUUGUUAAAGGUUAAAGCUUAACUUUAAAACUGCAGCAGAAACUGCUAGGCUUGAGUACAGUCGAAGUAGAGGGAAUUUCCAGUGAAGCGGUGAAAUGCGUAGAUAUUGGAAGGAACACCAAUGGCGAAAGCACUCUACUGGACCAUUACUGACACUCAGAGACGAAAGCUAGGGUAGCAAAAGGGAUUAGAUACCCCUGUAGUCCUAGCCGUAAACGAUGGAUACUAGAUGUUGUGUUUAUACAGUAUCGUAGCUAACGCGUUAAGUAUCCCGCCUGGGGAGUACGCUCGCAAGGGUG